ACUUUUAUCCAACCUGUUGGCGGAAGUUCCCACAGCACUUUAUCGACCUUCAGACGGGGUGUAUAUUGGUCCAUCAUAGUUAGAAGAUCAAUCCACUUGUGAGGUACAUGAAGCACUGGUUUUUUCAGUUGUACUAGUGAUUGCAGCGUUGAUGAAAUUUGGUAGAUAACUCUAUUUACUGACAUUGAUUCGCCGUAUUUCAAAGUAUUUAUUCUUUUCCAUGACUCCCAUACAAUGCAUGCAGGUAAAGCUUGUAGGACUGAUUUCGGUCUUGGUACAACUGGAGUCAUCCAACAUUUUGUUAUUGCUUGAUGUAAAGACAAACUUUAUGAAUGAAUUCUUGCUCUCGUUAGGAAGUAUCUCCAUACAGUCGAAGCUGCAUUUGAAGUGAAGAAUAGAUUAACUAGAGACUCCUCUUUAGACUCAACAACACCAAUAUUCAGAAGCAAUUGAGUAUCCUAUUCUACGCAAGAAAUCAUCAAGUGGCAGUUUUGCUUUCCAGACCUUCCAUAAAAAGAAAGAUAUAUUGAAUGGUAGGCCUUUGACCCAUAUCAUCCUGUAAGCUAUCCUUGG
rnacentral:lncRNA from 1 species